UCAAGUGCCAGCAUCAUCAUGAUCCAGUGAACAAGAAGCGGUGCGUCGACUUCUGCAUACGGUGGCAGCUAGCGCUACCGUUUGACGCUGCGGAGGAGGGAGCCACCGCUGGCGACGACAGCCUCCACGGUAGCCGAGCUAUGUGCGAGCUCAAGUGCCAGCAUCAUCAUGAUCCAGUGAACAAGAAGCGGUGCGUUGACUUCUGCAUACGGUGGCAGCUAGCGCUACCAUUUGAUGCUGCGGAGGUGGCUCAGGGAGCCACCGCGGGCGAGGACAGCCUCCACGGUAGCCGAGCUAUGUGCGAGCUCAAGUGCCAGCAUCAUCAUGAUCCAGUGAACAAGAAGCGGUGCGUCGACUUCUGCAUACGGUGGCAGCUAGCGCUACCGUUUGACGCGGUGGAGGAGGGAGCCACCGCGGGCAAAGACAGCCUCCACGGUAGCCGAGCUAUGUGCGAGCUCAAGUGCCAGCAUCAUCAUGAUCCAGUGAACAAGAAGCGGUGCGUCGACUUCUGCAUACGGUGGCAGCUAGCA
rnacentral:lncRNA from 1 species